rnacentral:tRNA from 1 species
GGGAAUGUAGCUCAGUUGGUAGAGUGCUUGCCUAGCGUGCAGGAACCCUUGGGUUUGAUCCCCAGUGCCA